UACGUAGGGUGCGAGCGUUAAUCGGAAUUACUGGGCGUAAAGCGUGCGCAGGCGGUUUUGUAAGCCGGAUGUGAAACCCCCGGGCUUAACCUGGGAAUGGCAUUCGGGACUGCAAGGCUGGAGUGCGGCAGAGGAGACUGGAAUUCCUGGUGUAGCAGUGAAAUGCGUAGAUAUCGGAAGGAACAUCAGUGGCGAAAGCGACUUCCUGGACCAAUACUGACGCUCAUGUGCGAAAGCGUGGGGAGCAAACAGG
rnacentral:rRNA from 1 species